rnacentral:rRNA from 1 species
GGCCCAGACUCCUACGGGAGGCAGCAGUGGGGAAUAUUGGGCAAUGGGCGCAAGCCUGACCCAGCAACGCCGCGUGAAGGAAGAAGGCUUUCGGGUUGUAAACUUCUUUUGUCAGGGACGAAGCAAGUGACGGUACCUGACGAAUAAGCCACGGCUAACUACGUGCCAGCAGCCGCGGUAAUACGUAGGUGGCAAGCGUUAUCCGGAUUUAUUGGGUUUAAAGGGUGCGUAGGCGGAUCGUUAAGUCGGUGGUCAAAUGGGGGGGCUCACCCCCUCCCCGCCAUUGAAACUGGCGCUCUUGAGUGGAAGAGAAGUAUGCGGAAUGCGCGGUGUAGCGGUGAAAUGCAUAGAUAUCACGCAGAACCCCGAUUGCGAAGGCAGCAUGCCGGCUUCCGACUGACGCUGAAGCACGAAAGCGUGGGGAUCGAACAGGAUUAGAUACCCGCGUACU